rnacentral:lncRNA from 12 species
GACGGGUCUGCAUGGACUGCGGGCUCCCUCAGAGCUAGGCCCUUCCCCAGCCCUCCCCGCUGGGCCACUGGGGGUUAGGGGCAGGGGGCGAGGGGUGCAGGCCUUGUGACCCAGCCUCAGUUUCCUUGUCUGCCUAAGGGGCAUGAAGGCGCGUCGGACAUCUUAUGACAGGAUGUUUGCAAACUGUAGAGGGCUGUGCAUGAGCAUGGGGCGGAGCGAUGUGUCUGUCCAGGAUGAGACUUGUCCCAUCCCCUUCCCUCACUGGUGGCAGAGCGUGGUGGGCCGCCUGCCCAGCCGGCCCCGGGGGACGCCACGUGGCUGGGACGUGGCACUCAGACUCUGCUUCCCAUCUGGUGUGACUUGUCUCUCUCCGGACGCCCCCACCCCCUGUGAUUCCUGCCCUCUGUGCAAGGAGUGGCCUGUACAAAGCCCAGGCAACUGUGUGCUCGCCUCUGCCAGUCACGCAGGAUUCUGUGAGGCACACGGGGCUGCUAGGCCAGCCUGUCUGGGGGCGCCCAUGGCCCCUCUUGGACAUCUGGGGCCCCCAGGAACCAGGUGCGGGGCAUUGGGGGAUCUCUGUGUGUGCGCCACCCCCACCCCAGUGGGCAGGGUCCCCAGGAUGCCUGGGGCAGCUUCCUUCCCAUGGUGCGGGGUCCCGCCGCCGAGUGAGGCCUGGGCAUUGAACCCCGGUGACCCACGCGUCCAGACAGAAACGGAGUACGGGCAGAUCUGUGCAGGGCUCUCCCGGGGGCUCGUAGGACAGUGGCCCUCAUUCCACGGCACUCCUGGGGUCCACGAGCCAUUGUGCUCGGUGCCCCAUAUCCCAGGGUCCUUGAAGGAGGCUCUCUUCGGGGUAGAGCCGUCUGAUUCCCAGCAGCGGCUGGGCAGGGGGCCUCCCUCCAACAGAAGGAUGGGACCUGCCAUCACAGCCCGAGCCUCACCCGCCUUCCUCAGGUGGGCGGAGGGAAGGGCUCAGGUCACGUGCAUUGGAGGCCCCUCUUCUUAGCACCCAGGGGCUGCUAGGCGCUGCUAGGGGUUCCUCGGGUCCUCAAGUGACCUGUGAAGUAGGUCAUCUCAUCCCCGUUUUACAGAUAAGGAAAUGGAGGCCCCAAGCCCAGGCCCCUUCCCAGGCCCCAUGUUCUCCCCGCCCUCCAGCACCGCCACCCCCACUGUGCCCUGGAGCAGCUAGCACUCUGGCAGCCUCCUGGGGGCCUGCAGCCCCCCGCCCGCCAGGCUCUCCAUAAGGAGCCUGGGUGCC